UGGUGGGACAGUGAGAUGAAAGAUGGUGGAGAAUUGAAUGGGAAACUCAAGCAAGCAAGGUCAUUUAGCCACUCACCCAAAGCUACCUCUAAGGGAGAGAUAUGGAGCAGUUCUUAAGGUAAUUGGCUUUAAAACUCCUUUUCUAACCUCGCAAUUAAACGAAAAGGAGGUCCCAAUUCAAACCCCAUGAAUAAUAUAUGUAUAUUGCAUAUUGUUUACGGAUCCAAUGGACUAUUUAAGUGAUAGACUCUGUAAAGGAUAUAUGAGGAAAUCAUCUUCAUCAUUAUUAUAUGGCUCCAAGUAUGUGAAUAAUUAUAAUUAGCCAUCCUUGUACUCCAGGAGAAAUCAGUUAAACCACCUAUGAUGGCUAAAGAUGGGAAAGCUCUAGAUGGGUUAUAAGCUUGGGGGUGGGGAGAAGAGAGAGUUUUAUCCCAGCAGCAAAUACAUCAGGGAAGCCAAGAUACAGAGAUUAGCCUAUGCAUGGAAGUUGGGUGGUACAGACUUUGAAAACCCAGCCUCAGUAGAGCAGAGGGAAGUGCAAUUGGAUGGGGAGGGUUAGCCUGGGUUCCCCACAAACGAAUGUGAACUCAGUGU
rnacentral:lncRNA from 1 species